CAAAACUGCUUUAGAAGAUAUCGGUUUCUCUCUUCUUCAAAUAUCCCACCUCGUCGAAUAGCUGUGCUUAAGAGAACUUGUAAUCUGUGCAGAGCCAUAUACAGACUCCAGCAAUUCCAGAUAUACUGCAGGUAAACUGUUCGGUGGGACAUGUUUAACAAUAAUUGCAGCAGGGGGAAGCAGACUGUCUAUGAUUUUUCUGCCUCGAUUUAAGUCAGAUAUAGAAGGAUCUGUCAGUAGGAGAUCAACACUGGCAUGCCAAGUGUUACAGUCUGGCUCAUUAACAGGUCUAGGAAGUUUUCCAGAGAAAGAUCGGAGGCGAAAAGAGGUAUGGUGCAUUGGAGCUGUGUCAUUUGUGCGGACAAUGUGCUCAACUAUUACCUAGGAGGUAACUAGAUUAACUAGGAGAAUCAAUUAUAUCCAUAGUAAGUGCUGGAUGGGAUGACACUGUUACUGUGGGUUUAGUACUUCUAUGGUUAAGGCUUUCCUUGGACAGGUUUUUUGAAUUUGUUGAUUCAACUUCAUGAAAUGGUGAAAUUCUAGAUGAAGGAAAAGCUGUUUGUUCAGUAAUCAUUCUUUGUGAUAUGACUGGGGACAGCAGUCUAUUUGGUGAACUGACUGUGCUACAAUUAAGUAUUUGAGAACGUGCUGCAUUUGGAAAUUCAAGCUUUUUAUCCAAAACAGGUAGUGACUCAGCAUGAGAAGGGCCAAAUUUCAUCUUCAGUAACUCUGUUUGAAGUACUUCCUCAAUCGAUUUCCCACUAAAACUAGCAAUGUUUUGCAAUUCCUCCAGAUAUCCAUUAGUAGCACUAUCACUAGCAAUAUGGG